rnacentral:lncRNA from 1 species
CGGUUCUUGAUAUAUUAUCAAUUUCCAUGAUAUAAUCAGAAAAUUUAUUGUGUAUGUUUAUAACAUGAAUUUUAAGAUAAGAGACAAAAAGUACAAGGUGCUAAUUGCCAGACCUCGAUAUUUAACCACACACGCUGGGAUGGAUUGAUAACAAUGUAUGCUAGAGUUAUCAGUCCUUGAAAUAAAUUUAUUGACAAGAUUGGAUUACCUCCCUUAAACCGGACUAAUUCUUGGCAAUGA